rnacentral:rRNA from 1 species
GACGAACGCUGGCGGCGUGCCUAAUACAUGCAAGUUGAGCGCUGAAGGUUGGUACUUGUACCGACUGGAUGAGCAGCGGACGGGUGAGUAACGCGUGGGGAAUCUGCCUUUGAGCGGGGGACAACAUUUGGAAACGAAUGCUAAUACCGCAUAAAAACUUUAAACACAAGUUUUAAGUUUGAAAGAUGCAAUUGCAUCACUCAAAGAUGAUCCCGCGUUGUAUUAGCUAGUUGGUGAGGUAAAGGCUCACCAAGGCGAUGAUACAUAGCCGACCUGAGAGGGUGAUCGGCCACAUUGGGACUGAGACACGGCCCAAACCCCUACGGGAGGCAGCAGUAGGGAAUCUUCGGCAAUGGACGAAAGUCUGACCGAGCAACGCCGCGUGAGUGAAGAAGGUUUUCGGAUCGUAAAACUCUGUUGGUAGAGAAGAACGUUGGUGAGAGUGGAAAGCUCAUCAAGUGACGGUAACUACCCAGAAAGGGACGGCUAACUACGUG